rnacentral:lncRNA from 1 species
GAUGACAACAAUCUUUACACAUCAUGUGCAGUAAACGAAAAUAUAAAAAUAACAAAAACAAAAGGAAAAUUAAAAAGUCCGUUAUCGAAUGGCAAAAUCAAAAGCUCAAUCACAUCAAACGAAAGUUAAACAACUGUCAUUGUCAUGACUUAACAAGCCAUUUCCUCAUAUAGAAACAUUAAAUUAGUUUGAAAAAUAUAUAUUUUCAUGAUAUAACUACAGUUCUAUUGCAUGCGGCAUCUACUUAAAACCAAUACUGAUCUCUUUGUGCAUUUGUUACGUAUAUAAAUUUAAUUAAAGAUAACAUGUCAUUAUAAAAUGAUUCUCAGACACAUCUUUAAUUAUGUACACACAGAUUAUCAUGUAACAUGCAAGAAACGAUCAUUAAGUCAAGCUUUCUAUAGAAUUCAUUACUGGUUCACACAGGAAACAGAAAAUUACUAUUGUAUUAUGUUAUGCUCAUUUAAUUAAAAAAAAAUGAAAUGGCUAAUGAAAAUGUUUUUGAAUUGUUGAUCCUAAAUGUCCUACAAUUUCUUACUUUAUUUUGCUUUUUUAACUUAAUUCGUGUGUCACUUUUCAGUCAUUUUUAGACAAAACGCGCGUGAUGCAUUCAACAGUUUAAUAUAUUGAUGCGUUAAUGUAACAUUAUUUUAGAAUUGUGAUUUUUAUUUUCUCUUGGGUAUAUUCCUAUGUUGUUUUCAUUACAAACCAGUAACAAGCCUAGUCAUAGAAUUUUGAGAGAAAUAGUUCACCAUGUUUAUUAGCUUAAACAGGUUUCACAUGCUUACAGUCGUCUAUAGUUAACCUUUUGUUUAGCAUAAUUCAAAUUAAGUAAAUACAACGAUUUAAAGAUUUAGACCACGGUUAUGAGGUGCUACACUUUGUUGUAUUGGCAAAAGCUUUAAUCAUUAUCAUUCGAAUGUUCUAAGUAGUACAUAUUAUUUUCAUUCAUUCGAAUAUAAAUGUUUCUCUUUCAAAGGCAUUGGUUGAACUGCUUUUUACACACGCAUUACUUAUUUGAAAAGUUACCUCCCUUUACUUUGAUCAGUUCUUUUAACCUCUUCAGAUUGACCUCCCUUCACAUUGAAGGGUUAUUUCCCUUAUCUUGUUUUCUCCUCUUAUAUCAAUACCAGAUCAAAAGAAUUAGAUUUGAGAAAAAUCAUAAUGUAUUUUUUAUAAUUACAAAAAGUAAAAACAAAUAAAAAAUAUGAUUGUAUUUAGUUCUAUUUAUAAAACAAUCAAAACUAUGAUAAUGAUUAUUCAUUGACAUUAUUUGACUUAGUUGACCAUACAUUGAUAUGGUUAUCAUUUUAAGGUGGUACCAAACACUUUAGCUAAAAUUAAUUUGGCUCGUUUAAUUUUCUUAA